rnacentral:lncRNA from 7 species
UUCAAGAAUUUGUCUGCCAGCUGUCUUCCAGGAAGCAGAAUCAAGGAAUGGCCUGGUUAUCAAGGGUGGCUGGCUGGAGACCUCCUCUGCCUUCUCCUCUACCAUUGUCACUCUUGCUAUGAUUUACUUAAGGUAUGUUCUGAACCAGUGGAACAAAUGUUCUGUGCUCUCAAAGGCAAAAACUGCCUUGGAAACCAAAGUCAAACCCAAAGAAGGGAAGUGAUGGCCACUCAUUUUGUUACAAACCUCCACCUCAUUUCUGGAGUCCUGUCUGAGAUUUUCAAAUAUAUGUUUAUCUCCUGAUAAACUCAGUGGUACAUGCGUUCCCAAAUACACUGGAACACAUUCAGUGGAGCAAAAUGCUGCUCAGGGAGAACAGAAUCUGCUCGAGGCGUGUCUGAAGGGGAAAUGGCAGGAGUGAUGGUGAGACUGAGGGGGAAGCAAGUGAAGACAGGGCAGUGACCUCUCUCAGCAGGACAAGUUGCAAACUGAAACGUUCCUAUAGCUGAACCCACAAGACUUGCUCCUUCUUCCAGGAGAAGGCCAGAGUCAAGACAUAAAAUGACAUUCAGGGUCAUAAGCUGAUCAUAAGUGACCUGGUCUGGGCCAUGUGAUCUCUAAGAGGGCUUUGUUUUUGUAUUAUAAAGUUUGUCUAUAUGAGUAAGACUGUGGUUUUGACCAGCAUUAAAGCGAUUAUUUCUCACUGCUUGGUCUCAGGAAAGACCAGAUUAGUUUGUAUUGCGCUUAAGUGGAAGCUGAAAUUUCCUACCUGUUCUAGAGCACAAACCAGAUGGAUUAGAAUGCUUUCUUGUCAGCUAGCAGCAAUAAGAAAGAAUUGCAAAAAAUAAAGCAUUCAUG